rnacentral:rRNA from 1 species
AUUGAACGCUGGCGGCAGGCCUAACACAUGCAAGUCGAGCGGAUGAAGGGAGCUUGCUCCUGGAUUCAGCGGCGGACGGGUGAGUAAUGCGUAGGAAUCUGCCUGGUAGUGGGGGAUAACGUCCGGAAACGGGCGCUAAUACCGCAUACGUCCUGAGGGAGAAAGUGGGGGAUCUUCGGAUCUCACGCUAUCAGAUGAGCCUAGGUCGGAUUAGCUAGUUGGUGGGGUAAAGGCCUACCAAGGCGACGAUCCGUAACUGGUCUGAGAGGAUGAUCAGUCACACUGGAACUGAGACACGGUCCAGACUCCUACGGGAGGCAGCAGUGGGGAAUAUUGGACAAUGGGCGAAAGCCUGAUCCAGCCAUGCCGCGUGUGUGAAGAAGGUCUUCGGAUUGUAAAGCACUUUAAGUUGGGAGGAAGGGCAGUAAGUUAAUACCUUGCUGUUUUGACGUUACCAACAGAAUAAGCACCGGCUAACUUCGUG